rnacentral:rRNA from 1 species
UACGGAGGGGGCGAGCGUUGUCCGAAGUUACUGGGCGUAAAGGGCGCGUAGGCGGCCUGCUAAGUCGGACGUGAAAUCCCUCGGCUCAACCGAGGAACUGCGUCCGAUACUGGUGGGCUUGAAUCCGGGAGAGGGAUGUGGAAUUCCAGGUGUAGCGGUGAAAUGCGUAGAUAUCUGGAGGAACACCGGUGGCGAAGGCGGCAUCCUGGACCGGUAUUGACGCUGAGGCGCGAAAGCUAGGGGAGCAAACGGG